ACAGAGACAACAAUGAAAAGCCAGGGUUUUUUGGAGCCUUAAAAAUAUGAAGUGACAAAGUGUGCCCUUUGUGUCGGGAUUGACGUGGUACAAGGCUGACACGGUGCACCCUCUAGGGAUUGAUCUUCCAGCCCGGAUAAAAUGCCAGAAGUAGGUCAGGAAGAAGAGAGAAAGUGAGGAAGAGAGAAAAUCCUUUGGAAAGUACACACCCCUGAACUCCCAACGUGUUUGUUGUUGAAGUAUUUCUGACAUGGACAAGACUGUACUAAGGUGCUGACUGUUGAUUGGCAGAUAAAACCACAACUGUAUUAUUGCUGCAGCACUCAGCUCUGCCCAGGAUCCACGGCAGUGUCAUACCCUGAUCUGCUGACUGUGUCCAGUCAGUGGAGGCCGAUGCUGGUACUCAUACGACUGUUGAGUGACAGAGUGACGAAAGCCAACCUGAGGUGAUGAUGCACACACUGCUGGUUGGGAGCCACUCCACUGUCAGCUGCCUCAUCUCCUCCUUCAGCCGCUCACACUCCACCUUCAUCUCCACUUCCCUCUGACAAGCCCCCUGAGCCUCGUGCCUCGCCCCCUCCAGCUCGGCCUCCAGCCUCUGCAACUUCAGCAUCAUCACCUCCUUCAGCUUGUUGGUACAAUAGGUAAUUGUGAAAGAGCAAAAGAACUGAGAUCUUCCAAGGACGGCUUCUUUCAGCCUGCACCUGGGUGAUGUGAUCUGCGUGGGCAAGUGAGUGAUUCAGCUUCAGUCAGUCCUUGAGCCAGAAGACAAAGAAUCCAUGCAGCAGCAUCAGCUCCUCAUCAGCACUGUGGUCCCUCUGGAGGUUGCUUUUCUCCAUGUGAAUCUUCUCGUAGGCCUGGAUCACGUCUUCCAGCUGCUCCUCCCUCUCCUUCCUCUUUUGGAGCUGCAGUGAAAGAGAAAGUGGCCAGCCUGGUCUUGAUGUCCUGAUAGGCCGUGAUGAGGGGGAAGUGGUUGGGGGCGUAGACAUCGUCCGGGGGCAGGG